GGCAGGUUCAGAGAAGGGAUAUAAAGAGAUUAGAGCAGAGGAUGGCUAAAGGCAAAGGUGAAAACUACACCCAAGGAGAUGAAGCAACUUUCCACUGGAUGCCUCAGCUUGGCUCAAGGUGACCAUGAACAAACACUAUGAUGUCUCCCAACAAGUUCUUGCCUCCAGAGGCUCUGCUUUGACCCAGGUGACUUCAUGACAGCCACUGGGACUACACUGGUUCUCACUUGGCCCAAG